UCAAGCUGGUAAGGGCAUACGGUGGAUGCCUAGGCGCCAGGGGGCGAAGAAGGGCGCGGCAAGCUGCGAAAAGCCCCGGGGAGGUGCAAGCGACCGUCGAUCCGGGGGUGCCCGAAUGGGGGAACCUGCUGGGGUUGAAGUCCCAGCACCUUAUGCUGAACACAUAGGCAUAAGGGGCGAACCGGGGGAACUGAAACAUCUUAGUACCCCGAGGAGAAGAAAGCAAUAGCGAUUCCCUGAGUAGCGGCGAGCGAAAGGGGAGGAGCCCAAACCGUCGGCGUGUAAAAGGCUGCAGCCGUUGCGCUGGCGGGGUUGUAGGCAGCUCCCGUACAAGCUGCUGCAGCGGCUUGGAUGAGUUACAAACCUCUAGGCUAGCCGAAGAGGCCUGGAACGGUCCACCAUAGGGGGUAAAAGUCCCGUAGGCGAAAGCUUAGGGGCUCAUUGGGGGCUUGCCUGAGUACCGCGGGGCACGGGGAACCCCGUGGGAAGCAGGGAGGACCACCUUCCAAGGCUAAAUACCACCUGGCGACCGAUAGCGGAUAGUACCGUGAGGGAAAGGUGAAAAGCACCCCGGGAGGGGAGUGAAAUAGGACCUGAAACCGUAUGCCUACAAGCAGUGGGAGCCUCGAUUUAGGGGUGACCGCGUACUUUUUGUAGAACGGACCGGCGAGUUACUGUCCUGUGCGAGGUUAAGCGUGGGAAGCGCGGAGCCGAAGCGAAAGCGAGUCUUAACAGGGCGCGAAGUACAGGGCAGUAGACCCGAAACCGGGUGAUCUACCCAUGGGCAGGGUGAAGCGUAAGUAAAGUUACGUGGAGGCCCGAACCGACCGGUGUUAAAAAACCGGCGGAUGACCUGUGGGUAGGGGUGAAAUGCUAAUCGAACCCGGAGAUAGCUGGUUCUCCCCGAAAUAGCUUUAGGGCUAGCCUCAAGCUGAAGACUUAUGGAGGUAGAGCACUGAUCAGGCUAGGGGCCCUAUCAGGUUACCGAACCUUUUCAAACUCCGAAUGCCAUAAGUUGUUGCUUGGGAGUCAGACUACGGGUGAUAAGAUUCGUAGUCGAGAGGGGAACAGCCCAGACCGACAGCUAAGGUCCCCAAGUACGGGCUAAGUGGGGAAGGAUGUAGAGCCGCAUAGACAACCAGGAUGUUGGCUUAGAAGCAGCCAUCAUUUAAAGAGUGCGUAAUAGCUCACUGGUCGAGUGGCUCUGCGCCGAAAAUGUAGCGGGGCUCAAGCCCGUCACCGAAGCUUCGGCUAGCUGGCGUAUGUCAGCUGGGGUAGGGGAGCGUUCCAGCUGCGCAGAAGCUGAGCUGAGAGGCUUAGUGGAGCGGCUGGAAGUGAGAAUGCCGGUAUGAGUAGACGAGAAAGAGGUGAGAAUCCUCUUCGCCGUAAGCCUAAGGUUUCCUGGGGAAGGCUCGUCCGCCCAGGGUAAGUCGGGACCUAAGCCGAGGCCGAGAGGCGUAGGCGAUGGGCAACCGGUGGAGAUUCCGGUACCACCCUUAACCCGUUUAGAGGAAGGGGUGACGCAGGAGGGUAGGCCAAGCGCGCCGUUGGUUGAGCGCGUCCAAGCCUGUAGGGUGGCUGGGCAGGGAAAACCGUCCGGCUAUACCUGAGGGGUGAUGGGGAGCGAAAUUUGAGUAGCGAAGUGGCUGAUCCCACACUGCCGAGAAAAGCCUCUAACGAGGGUUAGGGGUGCCCGUACUGCAAACCGACACAGGUAGGCGAGGAGAGGAUCCUAAGGCGAGCGAGAUAACCCUCGUCAAGGAACUCGGCAAAAUGGCCCCGUAACUUCGGGAGAAGGGGCGCCUCGUUAGCGUGAUAAGCCCUAGCGGCUUUGAGCGCGAGGGGGCCGCAGAGGCCAGGCCCGAGCGACUGUUUAUCAAAAACACAGGUGCCUGCUAAGGAGGAAUCCGACGUAUAGGUGCUGACGCCUGCCCGGUGCUGGAAGGUUAAGGGGAGGGGUUAUCCGGCGAUGAGCUGGAGAAGCUCCGAACCAAAGCCCCAGUAAACGGCGGCCGUAACUAUAACGGUCCUAAGGUAGCGAAAUUCCUUGUCGGGUAAGUUCCGACCCGCACGAAAGGCGUA
rnacentral:rRNA from 1 species